UACGUAGGGACCGAGCGUUGUCCGGAAUCAUUGGGCGUAAAGAGCGUGUAGGCGGCCACUUAAGUCCUGCGUGAAAUCUUGCGGCUCAACCGCAAGCGGUCGUGGGAAACUGGGUGGCUAGAGUGCGGGAGAGGAGAGUGGAAUCCUGGUGUAGCGGUGGAAUGCGCAGAUAUCAGGAGGAACACCGAUGGCGAAGGCAGGUCUCUGGGCCAUUACUGACACUGAGAAGCGAAAGCAUGGGGAGCGAACAGG
rnacentral:rRNA from 1 species